rnacentral:lncRNA from 1 species
AUUGUUGUAAACAAAUUAAGUAAAUUUUUGUCUCCGAUUCUUUUGCUCCGGUUUGUCGUCACCGUCGUCGCAGAAAAGUCGGAGGAAAUAGGAAAUCUUUUACGACCGGGAUUUUAUUACAACGGAACGCAGAGAACCCCACAACCUGGUAAGUGUGGGGCCGCAAGAAAAACAGAAACCCAAGGCGCGUUCGUCCUACAGCCAUGGAAUCAUCGUUCUUCUGCUGCUAAUCACAAUUACCAGACCAACAAAACAGACCUCCAGCAAUCAACCCACACGCAAAAAUUAAACACCGCCCAAAAAGCAUUCAAGAGAUGAACCACUAGGAGUGGGUGCAAUAAUGAAUACUGUCCGAAGCUCUGAAGUUCCCUGACUUGCUGAAUAGUACCGGGCAGUUGCUGACUUACAUGGAAUCCACCCGAGAAACGAUGAGAUCUACAAUCCUGAUGGCUGCGGACUGCGUGCAAUGCCCCAUUUAUACUGCUUCCCGACUAAAAACGGGUGAACCAACGUGCGAAGUUCGAUUUUUGACCAACUUCGCCACGUCGCGAGUCACUUCGCUGUGGUGCGCAUCUAUGUCCUCCACCGUGUGCAUUAUGCGAAUUAAGCACUAUUGAGAAUCGAGUUGUGACGCGGCGAAGUUGGUCAAAAAUCAAACUUCGCACGUUGGUUCACCCGUUUUUAGUCGGGAAGCAGUAUAAAUGGGGCAUUGCACGCAGUCCGCAGCCAUCAGGAUUGUAGAUCUCAUCGUUUCUCGGGUGGAUUCCAUGUAAGUCAGCAACUGCCCGGUACUAUUCAGCAAGUCAGGGAACUUCAGAGCUUCGGACAGUAUUCAUUAUUGCACCCACUCCUAGUGGUUCAUCUCUUGAAUGCUUUUUGG